rnacentral:rRNA from 1 species
CCUACGGGGGGCUGCAGUGAGGAAUAUUGGUCAAUGGGCGCGAGCCUGAACCAGCCAAGUCGCGUGAGGGAAGACGGUCCUAUGGAUUGUAAACCUCUUUUGUCAGGGAACAAAGGCGGGGACGUGUCCCCGGAUGAGUGUACCUGAAGAAAAAGCAUCGGCUAACUCCGUGCCAGCAGCCGCGGUAAUACGUAGGGGGCAAGCGUUAUCCGGAUUUACUGGGUGUAAAGGGAGCGUAGACGGCGAUGCAAGUCUGAAGUGAAAGGCGGGGGCCCAACCCCCGGACUGCUUUGGAAACUGUAUGGCUGGAGUGCAGGAGAGGUAAGUGGAAUUCCUAGUGUAGCGGUGAAAUGCGUAGAUAUUAGGAGGAACACCAGUGGCGAAGGCGGCUUACUGGACUGUAACUGACGUUGAGGCUCGAAAGCGUGGGGAGCAAACAGGAUUAGAUACCCGGGUAGUC